rnacentral:rRNA from 1 species
GGGGGAUAUUGCGCAAUGGGGGCAACCCUGACGCAGCAACGCCGCGUGAAGGAUGAAGGUUUUCGGAUUGUAAACUUCUUUUAUUAAGGACGAAAAAUGACGGUACUUAAUGAAUAAGCUCCGGCUAACUACGUGCCAGCAGCCGCGGUAAUACGUAGGGAGCAAGCGUUGUCCGGAUUUACUGGGUGUAAAGGGUGCGUAGGCGGCUUUGCAAGUCAGAUGUGAAAUCUAUGGGCUCAACCCAUAAACUGCAUUUGAAACUGUAGAGCUUGAGUGAAGUAGAGGCAGGCGGAAUUCCCCGUGUAGCGGUGAAAUGCGUAGAGAUGGGGAGGAACACCAGUGGCGAAGGCGGCCUGCUGGGCUUUAACUGACGCUGAGGCACGAAAGCGUGGGUAGCAAACAGGAUUAGAUACCCUGGUAGUCCACGCUGUAAACGAUGAUUACUAGGUGUGGGGGGUCUGACCCCUUCCGUGCCGGAGUUAACACAAUAAGUAAUCCACCUGGGGAGUACGGCCGCAAGGUUGAAGCUCAAAGGAAUUGACGGGGGCCCGCACAAGCAGUGGAGUAUGUGGUUUAAUUCGAAGCAACGCGAAGAACCUUACCAGGUCUUGACAUCCAACUAACGAAGUAGAGAUACAUUAGGUGCCCUUCGGGGAAAGUUGAGACAGGUGGUGCAUGGUUGUCGUCAGCUCGUGUCGUGAGAUGUUGGGUUAAGUCCCGCAACGAGCGCAACCCUUGCUAUUAGUUGCUACGCAAGAGCACUCUAAUAGGACUGCCGUUGACAAAACGGAGGAAGGUGGGGACGACGUCAAAUCAUCAUGCCCCUUAUGACCUGGGCUACACACGUACUACAAUGGAUGUUAACAGAGGGAAGCAAGACAGCGAUGUGGAGCAAACCCCUAAAAACAUUCUCAGUUCAGAUUGCAGGCUGCAACCCGCCUGCAUGAAGAUGGAAUUGCUAGUAAUCGCGGAUCAGCAUGCCGCGGUGAAUACGUUCCCG